UGGGGAACAUUGCACAAUGGGCGCAAGCCUGAUGCAGCCAUGCCGCGUGUAUGAAGAAGGCCUUCGGGUUGUAAAGUACUUUCAGCGGGGAGGAAGGGAGUAAAGUUAAUACCUUUGCUCAUUGACGUUACCCGCAGAAGAAGCACCGGCUAACUCCGUGCCAGCAGCCGCGGUAAUACGGAGGGUGCAAGCGUUAAUCGGAAUUACUGGGCGUAAAGCGCACGCAGGCGGUUUGUUAAGUCAGAUGUGAAAUCCCCGGGCUCAACCUGGGAACUGCAUCUGAUACUGGCAAGCUUGAGUCUCGUAGAGAGGGGUAGAAUUCCAGGUGUAGCGGUGAAAUGCGUAGAGAUCUGGAGGAAUACCGGUGGCGAAGGCGGCCCCCUGGACGAAGACUGACGCUCAGGUGCGAAAGCGUGGGGAGCAAACAGG
rnacentral:rRNA from 1 species